rnacentral:tRNA from 1 species
UCCCUGGUGGCUACAUGGUAAAGCGUCUGCCUAUAAUGCGGGAGACCAGGGUUCAAUCCCUGGGUCAGGGAA